UCUAUUUAGUGUGUGAGAGGAAAUUAGAAUGGUAGCUUAGCCCUAAUAUCUUAUUUUAGUUGACUCUGUAGAUCCGUAGAUCCUCUAACAUUGCUUGACUGUCUGUAUUGGCUGGUUGGUUUCAGUGGUGGAAAAAGUACUCAAUUGCCAUACUUGAGUAAAAGUAAAGAUAACUUAAUAGAAAAUUACUCAAGUAUUAAAGUGAUAGUCACCCAGUGAAAUACUACAUAAGUAAAUGUCUAAAUAUAUUUGGUAUUAAAUAUACUCAAGUAUCAAAAGUAAAUGUAAUUGCUAAAAUAUACUUACAGUUCCUUCAGAAAGUAUUCAUACCACUUGACUUAUUCCUCGUUUUGUUGUGUUACAGCCUGAAUUCAAAAUGAAUUAAAUCUAUUUUUUCUCCCUCGCCCAUUUACACACAAUACUCAAUAAUGGCAAAGUGAAAACAUGUUUUUAGACAUUUUUGCACAUUUAUUGAAAAUGAUUUCACACCCCUGAGUAAAUACAUCAGAAUCACCUUUGGCAGAAACUAUAGCUGUGAGCCUUUCUGGGUAAGUCUCUAACUGUCACGUCCUGACCAUAGAGAGCCCUUAUUUUCUAUGGUGGAGUAGGUCAGGGUGUGACUGGGGGUUUAGUCUAGUUUAUUAUUUCUAUGUGGGGUUCUAGUUUUGUUUUUCUAUGUUGGUGAUUUUGUAUGAUUCCCAAUUAGAGGAAGCUGGUAUAGUUGUCUCUAAUUGGGGAUCAUAUUUAAGUAGCAUUUUUUUCCACCUGUGUUUUGUAGGAUAUUGUUUAUGUGUAGUUGCAUGUUAGCACUCCAUUGUCAUCACGUUUUGUUUAUUCUUUAUUGUUUUGUUGUGUGGUUCACUUACUUUAAAUAAAAAAGAUGUGGAACCCAGAUCACGCUGCACGUUGGUCCGAGUAUGCGUCCAAUGAUCGUGAAACUAACAGCUUUGCACAACUGGAUUGUACAAUAUUUGCACAUUAUUCUUUAAAAAGUUGGUUGUUGACCAUUGCUAGACAGCCAAUUUCUGUCAUGUUUCACCUGUCCUUGUGCUUGUCUCCACCCCUCCAGGUGUCGCCCAUCUUCCCCACUCAUCCUCUGGGGACACACUGUUGAUUGGGAAAGAGCACCCUCUGUCACGCUCAAGAGCCGGGGAUUUCACGGUCUGCUUCAGGACAUCGAACUGACAUCUGUGCCCAGUGGGUGAUUUGUCUUCUUUUAAUUAACGUACAACAGAGCAAGAAAACUGGCUGUAGGCAUCCAGCAGGUGAGUUCAGAGUGACACUGUGUACUACAUGAUCUAACAAGGCCAGAGGGCUUAUACACUGUAUACUAUUAUAAACAGGGUGGUUCGAGCCUUGAAUGCUGAUUGGCUGACAGCCGUGGUAUAUCAGACCAUAUUUUUACUGCUCUAAUUACGUUGGUAACCAGUUUAUAAUAGCAAUAAGGCACCUCGGGGGACUGUGGUAUAUUGGCCAUAUACCAUACCCCCUCUGGCCUUAUUGCUUAAUGCUUAAAUACACCGUGGGUCUCCUCUCCUUUUCAACCCUUCAGCAUAGGGGACAGGAAAAUACCUCUAUUGCCUGCUCCCAAUUUCACAGGGGCCUGCCCUCUUACCACUCUGGGGAAUGUCCAGCUGACAGACAGACUGAGAAAAGGCACUGGAGUAAGUUGAUGGAUACAUGCUGAUGGAAACAAAUGAUGGAUGCAGUGAGUACAGUUAUCCAACUUGUAUCACUUAUCAAUCCUUUUACAUGACCUAUAGUAGAGCACUUUAAAUUGAGAAAUCAAUUCAAAUCCAAAUGCAUUUGUCACAUGCUUCGUGAACAACAGGUGUAGACUAACAGUGAAAUGCUUACUUUUACAGUAUGUGAAAAUUGUUUUUCCACAUACUGUAAAAGUGCCAUUUACUAAUAUUGUUUAAAAUAUUGUCUAAGUAAACAGGGAGUCAAGGACAAACUUGUGUGACCUCCCACUGAUUGUUUCCUUAACCCACCAUGCCAUGCUUAUCAAACAAUAUAGAUCACAUAGACCCCACACAGCUUUUAGCACAAUACAUGUUUCCACUGAUGCUGUGCCUGACAUGGAAGAUGUCUGUGGGUGUCUAACCUGAGCUUUGGACCAUGAAUUUCAGUUAACCUUCAGUGGACUAAAUAACUACAGUAGCAUGCGAUGCGUGUACACACACACUCACAUGCACACAUGUACACACACACACACACACACACACACACACACACACACACACACACACACACACACACACACACACACACACACACACACACACACACACACACACACACACACACACACACACAUACAAGCCAGGGCAGCAACAGCAUAUAUCUUGGUCGACCAGAGUUAGAAUCCUGCAGGCCUGAUUAUAAUGGUAGACCACUGUUCUGUUUCGCCCUCCUGUGUCAUGGCGUAACACUGGGGCUUAAACACUAGCGUGAUUAAUUUGUCUCCACAGACAGAGCCACAGUCCAGUUAAACAGGCCCAUGUUGUGCAGGGUGGAGCUGAACUAGCGUGUCUUAUCUAAUAAAUCAAGAUGCUGAAGUGUAGUCCAUCUGCUUCUACUCUGGUUGACUCCCAAAUGGCACCCUAUUCCCUAUAUAUAGGGAAUAGGUUACCAUCAAUCAGUUUACCAUCAAUUGGAGUGUGCCUUCACAUGUCAGUCUUUGGUUCUCAUAAAUAUGCUGAUAAUUCCCUAUAAAUAUAUGCAAUUCUCUAAAGUAUUGAAUCACAUAGUGCACAGUGAAUUUAAAACCUUCUGUUGGUGGACCACAAAAGCAAUGGUAUAAUUAACUGCAUCCCAAACGGCACCCUAAUUCUCUUUACAGUGGACCACUUUUGACCAGUAGUAUUUUCUGGUCAAAAGUAGUGCACUAUAUAGGGAAUAGGGUGCCAUUUGGGAUGCAUACAUUGUGUAGGUUUAUUCACAAUGAAACAUGUCAUUCAUCAACUAAUCAAUAGACACAAAUCACAUACAGCAUUUGAUAACAAUUCAAGCCAUAACUCCACCAAUAAAUAGCAUGACAUACAUAAAAUGAGACUGAAAGUUGUCAGAGCCACAUACUCUUUUUUCGUGUCUUUACAAGUUGUCACAUAUUAUCACCCUCAAUUCUUUAUUGCCUAUUCACAGAGGCCUCCCAGAAUAUGGAGAACAGGGGGAGGGGUGGAAAAUAGAGUACCGCUUUCCCAGAUCGCAUUGUAUGAAAUUAUUUCAGCAUGCGUUUGAUUUCGCAGUGAAUGAAUGCCAAGUAAUCUUGUUUUUCUUGUCCUCCUACAUGUCUUUGAAGGGACUGUGCCACCAAAUGCCUGAAGACCUGUCACAAUGCUAAGUAUGACCUUGUGCUGUCUCUCAGCUGCUGCUGUAGGACCUUGUGUUGUCUCUCAGCUGCUGCUGUUGCUGCUUACAGUAAGAGUUGGAGUGUGUGUGUGUGUGUGUGUGUGUGUGUGUGUACAUAUCUCUGUGCCUGACUAUAUGCGUGUGUUUGUUUGCUCAUACUGGCAGCUGCUCAGGCAGCGUACAGCUUAACUCAGAAGUGUCCUAAAGCAGUGUAAAGGAUGGACACUGUACCAGGUGUGCUUCUGUGCAUGAAAGUGUUUAAGCAUAUUUAUGUAUGAAUACCUAUUUUUAGCCUUAACUUUCUCUCAUGUAAGGUGCUGAAUGGUGCUUUGAGGUUGUUGUAAUUCAACGUAUUAAAUGACAGGCCGCACCAGAGUCGUAUAAAUGGAGAGUUGCGCUUUCAAUCUGAACGUUCCAAGAGUGCCACUUUCUCCUCCAUAGCCGUUGCUAAGUGAUAAUUGACGCUUCGGCGUUGUGCUGUUUGUUUCUGAUAUUUUUCAAAACCAAUGAAGAUGCCCAGUCUAAACAGAUAUGCACUUUGUUGACACCACAACACAGUAGACUUGGAUGCACAUUAUUUAGCGAUUCAAUAAUAACGUCUGUUAAAUUCGCUAUUCUGUUUUGCUUGUUUACAGCAGGUAAUUACAUAGGGAAUUGUCAUAGCCGCUCUCGUAUUGUUAUAUCAGCAACAUUUCAAGAAUAAAGGAGCAAACAUGGUGGUCUGCCUACCCAUGUCAGAGACGCAAACUCUGUCUCAACCUUUAAGUCUUUACUGAAGACUCAUCUCUUCAGUGUGUCAUAUGAUAGAGUGUAGUCUGGCCCAGGAGUGGGAAGGUGAAUGGAAAGGCUCUGGAGCAACGAACCGCCCUUGCUGUCUCUGCCUGGCCGGUUCCCCUCUUUCCACUGGGAUUCUCUGCCUCUAACCCUAUUACAGGGGCUGAGUCACUGGCUUACUGGGGCUCUUUCAUGCCGUCCCUGGAAGGGAUGCGUCACCUGAGUGGGUUGAUUCACUGAUGUGGUCAUCCUGUCUGGGUUGGCGCCCCCCCUUGGGUUGUGCCAUGGCGGAGAUCUUUGUGGGCUAUACUCAGCCUUGUCUCAGGAUGGUAAGUUGGUGGUUGAAGAUAUCCCUCUAGUGGUGUGGGGGCUGUGCUUUGGCAAAGUGGGUGGGGUUAUAUCCUUCCUGUUUGGCCCUGUCCGGGGGUGUCCUCGGGUGGGGCCACAGUGUCUCCUGACCCCUCCUGUCUCAGCCUCCAGUAUUUAUGCUGCAGUAGUUUAUGUGUCGGGGGGCUAGGGUCAAUUUGUUAUAUCUGGAGUACUUCUCCUGUCCUAUUCGGUGUCCUGUGUGAAUUUAAGUGUGCUUUCUCUAAUUCUCUCUUUCUUUCUCUCUCUCGGAGGACCUGAGCCCUAGGACCAUGCCCCAGGACUACCUGACAUGAUGACUCCUUGCUGUCCCCAGUCCACCUGGCCGUGCUGCUGCUCCAGUUUCAACUGUUCUGCCUUAUUAUUAUUCGACCAUGCUGGUCAUUUAUGAACAUUUGAACAUUUUGGCCAUGUUCUGUUAUAAUCUCCACCCGGCACAGCCAGAAGAGGACUGGCCACCCCACAUAGCCUGGUUCCUCUCUAGGUUUCUUCCUAGGUUUUACACCUGCAUUGCUUGCUGUUUGGGGUUUUAGGCUGGGUUUCUGUACAGCACUUUGAGAUAUCAGCUGAUGUACGAAGGGCUAUAUAAAUAAAUUUGAUUUGAUUUGA